rnacentral:misc_RNA from 1 species
UUAAGUUCAGCGGGUAUCCCUACCUGAUCCGAGGUCAACCAUAGAAGGGGGUGCUGGCAGGCUACCGCCUAGCCCCAGAGCGAGAGCUGUACUACGCUUGGAGCCAGACGCUGCCGCCACUGUCUUUAGGGCCAGCCGUUGCCGGCAGGGCCCAAUACCAAGCAUAGCUUGAGGGUUGUAAUGACGCUCGAACAGGCAUG